CCAAAUGAUCCCCAGUUGUUAAUUUCUCCACUGCCACCUGAGCCCACAAGCCAGCCUGUACCAGGCGCAACACAGCUUUUCCUCAUCUCCUUCUGCAGAGUAGGCUGGCCUACACCAGCUGCUCACAAAUCCACUGCGAAGACUUUCCUGGGAGCACUCCUCUGCGUCCAUGCCAAGAAUCCCUUCUACAGCAGACCACACAGCUUGCAACCCAUGCUGGAUUCCAGGUCCCAGGCGCUGAGCUCACACCCCAGGCUCUGCCACACGACUUCCUGCGGUGAGAACUCCGGCAGCCAAGUCAGUCCCAGAGCUCAGGGAAGACCUCACCUUCCCUUCCACAUGCAGAAUGCCCGUGUGUUCAGCAAGAACCAUCCCUGUUUCUCCAUCGGCUUCAGUCUUCCCAGCCAUGGUCUCUGAUCCUUCUGCAGGAGAGCUUCCCAACCUCCCGUGGAAGAGCCGUGUGCCCGCUCGCACUCAGCAGUUUUACUGUUAACUUUCUCCAUAAGGAAGCUAUUCCAUUCCAGAACUGUUUGGGGAAGGAGGCUGGGGGGCGAAGAAAAAGAAAUAAUAAUUAUGUAGCAACUCUUGUCAGUUGCAGAUUUGCAUCUUCCCAUUUUAUGUAUCUAGUCAUAAUCUUGCACACAUAAAAUUUAAGCGUCACUGCACUGCUAGCAUUUUGCAGAAGAAAUUUUCCAAUACAACUCCACCAAUUUACUUGGGGGAAAAAAAAGGCUGGAGUCUAUAUUUACAGCUAACAGGCCUACAUUUGCUUCUGACACUCUUGGUGAACCCAGUGAGAGAGGUCAUUGGCUCCCCUUCCUUCCAUUCUUCGUCCAUGUAACACUUGGGUUUAUUAAACACGCUGUUUCCAUGGCAGGGACCAAAGCCCCACUGUUGGCCUCUCGUUGGGGAAGACAGCAGUGGUACUGGGGGUGAGGUGGAUUGGGUUUUAGAACCUCCUAGAGCUGGAAUCAGGUCCUAGCUCCUUCACUUACUCUCUGGGGUUCUUUAGGAAAAGCACUUAACUUUCUGACUUCUGCCGCCGGUCCCUCCUGUGUGAAAUAGGGAUGACAUUCUUACCUCUCGACCUGUGAUAAGGGCAGCACAUGGCCAUGGUCACACACAUGGUGUGUGUGUGCUCCAUGCCAUAAACAUUCACUCCUGUGCCCACCUUCAAAGUCAAGGCUGAGGUCUGGAAAAACAUUGCAUGCUCCAUGGAGGGACGCCAGUGGCAUCUGUCCUGGGUUCACCAAGAGCAAACAAGUGGAUGAAAGGGGGUGAGGCUUGGGUGGGCUCUGGGUGGACGGGGUCAUCUGGCCUCUCGCCAGUGUGGUGAGGCUCUGGGGAGGACUCUGUCACUGCUUUCUAGUUGUGGGUGGGCCGUUCCAGCUCAGGUGUUUUACGGCUUUAAGGCUCCAAGAGCAGGGUCCACAGGAGUCAAGACUCUCUUGGAUGGCGAAUCCCCGUACCAGAUUACCUUAGGCAGUAAAUGAGCCUAUUGGGUACAUAACUGGCAUGUCCGUCAGGCGUGGCUGUAUCCAGGCAUCAGUGGCUGUUGUCAGAUCACAUUCGGACUUUUCAUUCCAUGUUCCUCCAGGUUAGUUUCAGGAUGGCUCUCUUCACAAGACAGAGCCUGUGUUCCUACGUUCAGAUUGUCCUAGCUCAACAUUAGGGUUGAGCUGGCCCACUGCCUUGUUUGCCAAAUAAAGUUUUAUUAAAACACA
ensembl:lncRNA